GAAAACUAAUAGGGGAAAGGAAGGAAUGGAGGGGGAUUGAGUCGUUUGCAGUAGGAUGAAACCCACGAAGCAGGACGUAAUUUGAAUUUCACGGGAAUCCUGCAGAGAGAAUUAGGUCUGCACCCAGUAUUCCGUUACCAUCGUGACUGUCUCCACCAGGUGACUCAUCUAGGAGGUCCGACUGGGUGACACCCGCGAGGGAGGAGGGAGCCCAACCGGACCGAGAGCCCUAACUUCCGUGCGCCCCAACUGCUGCGUCUCCAUAGGCGCGCAGAGCUGAGAUGACCCUUCCUAUGGUCAUCGAUUGCAGGCUGCCCUGGAAGAGGAGGGCAGCUUAGGGGAGGCCGUCAUCUUAAAGGAUCACAGUCGCGUGCAGGCGACGGCAGUGUCGGAGAGGAUGCAGCGGACAGGGUUAGGAUUGGAAGCCGUUGGAGCGUGCGAAACGAGGUCUGCUGGGGAGACAGCAUCCAUCACAGGUGCCCCGUCUUCACGGGUCCUUUUCCCAGCACUUCCUCUAGCGAUGACGGGGAGUAACUGCAGCAGCUACACUGGAUUUCAAACAGCAUCAAGCGGGAACUGGAGGGUGUUGGAUGAGGCUCGCCGGUAGGAACCAAAACAGCGCUGCACAGGAGCAGGGAGCUGAUCUGGUCUUUGCUUCCGACCUGGGAACCAAGUUCCUGACCUUAACCUAUGAACAUAAGAACGGGGUCGGACCUGGCACUGUCGUUCUUCCUUCCAGCCCGAGUGCUCCCUCAGUGGCCUUCCAAGGCUCAGAUUGAUGUUGUUUCCAAAAUGGAACAAAUUUAAGUCGCCAGCUCACCGCUGGGAGGACUAAAAGACUUCAAGACCGUUUAGAUUUCCGUUUGGCGUCUGAGAGUUGUGCACAUCGUUGUCUCCUGGGUGUUACUGGAGUGGAGUCCAGGAGCAGAGCCACACUGGGCAUUGUCUAUACACGUGUGUCUGUGCCUGCUUCUCUUUUCCCAGCACCCAGAUGGCCAGGUGGGGACCAGCACGCUCCAUUUCACCACUGUCCUGCAUGCACUGGAGCAGAGAAGGAAGAAAGAAAAGAGCCAGGGGAACCAAGAACUAGACAAACACGAGGGUCCAGAGCUCCCUUUGUAGCACAGUGCACAAUGUGGCGUUGGGACUGGCAUGGCUCUGUACAAGCUCCUGCCUCCAGGUUCCUGUCCUGCUUGAGUCCCGACGUCUGUCAGUGAUAGACUACAACGUGAAAGAAACCCUUUCCUCACCAACUUGCUUUUGGUCAUGGUGUUUCAUCCCAGCAACAGAAGACGAAACCAAGACAGGAGUACAAGGGCUGGGAGUACAGGAGAGCAUCACAGACACAUGUUAUGGUCAAAAGGCCAAGGUUCCAGCUCAGAAGCCCUUUCUGAGGAUUGUCCUGCAGCUGCUCAAACUCCAGUUUUGCAACAGAUCCACAAGUGAUUGUGACAGGUUCCUACUACAGUAGUGACCACAGCCCUUGUGACUCGGCCAUUACCAGUUCCAGCCCGUCAACAUGUGGUGAGCUUUCUUAGCGUUAACCCCAACAUCUGUAGGUUUCACCUAUACACCGAAUGUUGAAUUUACUUAGUGUAAUGUUUUCUUACUGACCAGGCUGGCCUCGAACUCACAGAGAUCCGCCUGCCUCUGCCUUCCAAGUGCUGGGA